CUGGGCAGGGGCCCUGGGAGGGGGGGCGAGCUUCCUCCUCCUGCCAAGGCUCUGCCAGAGCUGUGGGGCUGCCCCGGGGGCGGCGGGGGGUAGGGACACCUCCAGGCCCGGUGGGCAGGGGCAGCCAAGACCAUCGCUGGAGGGAAAGCUGAGUACCAGCUUGGGAAGAGCGGAAGCAGGUGAGCUUAAACCAAAGAGGAGGGACUGGUGGGUGAGACACCACCCGGGCCUGGACCCUCCCCUCUGGGGCCAAGCAGCUCCCCCGGGACCAUCCCCAGAGACGCCUCAGCAGCUCCCUUGUUGGCACAGGGACAGAGAUGACAGGCUGUGGUGCUGGGUUCUGGUCGGGACCUUGGCUCCCAGUGCAUUUGCGGGUCUCAUCGGUCACCCGUGGCCAUUUGUUACCUGGAGAGACUCUUCUGCUGGGCCCCUCCGUGUGUGGCCGUGAAUAAUGGAGAGCGGCAGUCGAGCGGCGAAGGCCUUGAUUCCUCUGUCUGAACAUGGAGACUUGCUAGAUGAGAUGGGCCUCUAAGGAAGGCAAGUGGAGGCUCCUGGGUUCUCCAGGGGCCAGAGGCAACACCCCAGCCCUUCUCCCGUCCUGCUCAUGGGCUCCUCCUCCAUCCACUCCUGGGCUCACUCCAGGCACCUGCCAUGCACCCUCCUCCCCACCAUUCUCCAAGCAUCUGGCUACAAGGCCAGCCCAAGAGAUGAGCCCCGGGGAAAAGGAGAACUGACCUCUGCCCCGAGGUGGGCAGCUGAGGGGCUGCCAUGGCCACAGACGGCUGCUCAGACCGCUGGCAGGUUCCAGGCUGAGUCACCCUGAGUCACCACUGUCACUUCCUACCACACAUUCCCUCAUUCAUACAGUGUCUCAUCCCUAAGGCCACUUCCCUGGAAUCUUCUCGGGCAGUUGCCAAGGGUGUGGGGGCACUCAGCCUGCCCCAGAUGGACGGGCCAAGAGCUCGGCCCUCGGAGCCCUGCAAGGAGAGAGGCCCGGACAGUGUGGCCUCCCUGGAAGGGGGCGGAUGCCCUCUGAGCCCCGCUCCGGCCGGGGAGCCCUCCGACCCUCACUGGCCAGGCACUCCCUGGAUGCGCAGGGCAGGUCCCUCCCGCUGUGAGGUUCUGCACCUGCAACCUUGAGACUCGGGUACCUGGAAACACACUGGAGUGCACCCGGCAGAGGAGGGGGAAAUGGCUCACCUGCCCUCCUCUCCCGUCUCCCGCAUGCGGCUCAUUCGUUCCUUCACCUCCCACAUGUUUCUCGUGUGCAUUCAGCCCGUCUGGCACUGGGCCAGCUCCGGAGAGACACCGACCCCACUCCUCGCCCGCUGUCUUUCCACCUUGCCCAAGGAGGAGGCGGCUGUGGCCAGAACGUCUCGCACGCAUCUCUCCCUCCACCAAACGCUGUGUCCCACUCAUGUGACUCUCGCCUUGCGUUUGAAAUCCCACUGGGUCUUCAAGUCUCUGCAUCAGCGAUUUCUCUUUAAAGGUCACAGGGAGCCACGGGAUGUUUUCACUCCGAACCAUUUUAUACGAGAGCCCCAACCACAGGCUGUGUUCGGUUCGAAUUCCCAAGGUCACCAAAGGAAGUGCAGCUGAUUACAGACAGUCCCCAACUCGACGUUGUGGAAGGGACACAUGUGCUUCGAAGCUUGAAUGUGGAUCUUCUCCUGGGUCUGCGAUCGUCUCUCGGGGUGCUGGGCAGCGGCCGGGGCCCCAGCUCCCGGUCAGCCAGCGGUCGCCAGGGUCAACAGCCGGUGCUCGGACCCCCGUCUCUACCCACACAGACACUCUGUUGGCCACUUUCAUUACAGGAUUCAACACGUCACAUGAGACACUCGAUGCUUUGUUGUAAAAUGGACUUUACUUUCGACGAUUUUGCCCGACCGUAGGCCGAUGUCAUCGUUCAGGGCCAGUAGGCUGAGCUGUGAUGUCCGGAAUCCCAAGAGGCACCCCAUUGUGGGACACAUUUGUGUUCCUCCCUCAGGAGGAACCUGCCCGCGUUACACCCGGAGGAUAUGGAGGGCCUGGAUUACGCGGGCGUAGAAGCAAGAACGGAGGCUUUGGAGUCAAGAAGCCUGUGCGAGUUUGGCCGGCGCCUGCUUUUCUGGACCACCUCUGCUUCACGGGAAGGGAGGCAGGUGGCACAGGGGUUGAGAACAUGGGCUCUGGGCUCCGGCUGCCCGUCUCCAGCUGUGUGUCCUUGGAAAAACUCUUUGAGCCUCCUUUUCUUCAUCUGUAAAAUGGACACACUCGCGAUCAUCGCUCCCUUGCAAGGGCGUUUGGCGAAUUAACACGUGGAGGCUGAUCUAAGACGAGCGAUAACGUGUGAAGCGUCUGGUGUGAGGGGAAGGCGCAAAGGGCACCAGCUGUUUUCUCACUGAAGCGGCUCAUUUGCGAGGGGAGCAGCCAGCACCAUGGGCGCAAGCUGCGCAUGAGGCCUGUUACGGUCAGAGCCACGAGGGGCCGGGGUCCCAUCUCACAGAUGGCAAAACCGAGACCGGAAGGCUCUGCGGCCGCCUUCUUAGUCACCCAGGCAGCCGGACUGUCUGCGUGUUCCCCUUUCCCGGCACCGGGCCUGGUGGCCUGUCGACGUGGAGCUUACUCAGAAGGAGCACAGGACCUUCCAAGUGGCAUUGGCUUGGCAGGAGGCCGGGCACAGGGCAACCGAUACGACCAAGGCCUUCUUGCCUCUGGUGUGGGGAUCAGGGCCCCUGGCGGACAUCUUGAGAGCAUUUGUGUUUGGGGGGGUGGAGGAACGGGGGACACCCCCCCAACUCGCUUAAGCCUCAAAAAGACCCCAGUCGAGGGUGCCUGGGUGGCUCAGUCAGUUGAGCAUCCGACUUCGGCCCAAGUCAUGAUCUCACAGUUUGUGAGUUCGAGCCCCACGUCGGGCUCUGUGCUGACAGCUCAGAGCCUGGAGCCUGCU